ACAACAUUUGCAUUGCAACACAUGUAAAUGACUACAAUUUCACAAGUCAGCUUCAAUUACAUGCAGCUGAACAUAUCGCACAAAGAUGGUUGGACGAAUUAGAAAAAGAUGAGGGAUACGAGAAACCUUUUUCACCGCCAUCAUUUUACACUAUAUUUAAUGAGGAAAUUCUUUCUGAUAUCUCCCCUCCAUCACAGACAAGCUGUACAGACGAAAACGAUGGACCAUACGGACCGCAAUACAAUAUUACCAACUUACUACCCAAAA